GGAGCAAACCAGGCAGAAGAACUGAACGGAACUUCCUGUGGGCAUUCGUGGGGCUCACUGAGCACAUUCUCAUCAGGAAAGCAGGAAGUGUCUCUAAACGCAGCUGUAGCGGUCUGUGAACUGUGAAUGUGUAUUAUGAACGCCUUACUGCCUUUCUGUGGACACCUAGAAAGUAAUUUUAUGAACAAAGCCUUUCCUCUCACCUUUGGAGAAAAUAAAGUUAUAUGAGAUGGUUCAACUACCUGGAGACCAUCACAGGAUGAGACAGUCAGCGGUGGACUCUGGAUGAAUUCUGCAUGACCAAGAUCCCAGACUCAAGUGUCUUACGGAAAAUGGUGUUCUCGCCAGAGAAAUACCCCUGCCCACUGAUAUAUCUGGACUUCAAGCCACUUUUGAGUGGACUGUUUCAAUAACAGUUUUGAAAUAUAGUGUGGGGGACUGAAAAUGUCCUUUUUAUAGAAAAAUUAUUUCCUUCCAAACUUUAUCCUCCCAGUAUUUUUUUUUUUUUUUGAGAUGGAGUUUCACUCUCGUCACCCAGGCUGGAGUGCCAUGGUGUAGUCUCGGUUCACUGCGCCUCCUGGAUCCAAGAGAUUCUGCUGCCUCAGCCUUCUGAGUAGCUGGGACUACAGGCACCCGGCACUGUGCCUGGCUAAGUUUUGUAUUUUUAGUAGAGGCGGGGUUUCACCAUGUCGGUCAGGCUGGUCUUGAACUCCUGACCUGAGGUGAUCUGCCCACUGCGGCCUCCCAAAGGACUGGGAUUACAGGCGUGAGCCACCUUGCCCGGCCCCAGUAUUCUCAAACCAAGAAAAGUAUGACAACAAUAAAACAGCCUACUUUUGGACAAUACAGACAAGGCUAUUUGUCUCUUCUGAAAGGAAAAGCUUACAGCAGGAGAGCUAAGAAGAGAGACAUCCAAGGAUACAAGCAUUUCAAUGAAAGUUCCUCAACAUAAAAGGCAUAACAAAUUUCACAAAAUGCCUACUCAGAAUGAGGCACAGUGUAAAGUACCAUGCAUGGAACCAUGAAGGUAGCAUGGCACUCAAGACAGAUCCGGAAAAUCAACAGAGUCAGUUCACAGCUCAAGCACGUAGCACAGAGUCCCUUAGACCAGCCAAUGUUUUUUGGCACCAGGAUUCAUGGAAGAUAAUUUUUCUAUGGACAGGGUUGUGGAGAUGGUUUUGGGAUGAAACUGUUCCACCUCAGGUCAUCAGGCAUUAGAUUCUCAAAAGGAGCACACAACCUAGAUCCCUCGCAUGUGCUGUUCACAAUAGGGUUUGUGCUCCUGUGAGAAUCUAAUGCCGCUGCUGAUCUGACAGGAGGUGGGGCUCAGGCGGUAAUGCUCGCUGGCCUGCUGCUCACCUCCUGCUGUAUGGGCCAGUUCCUAACAGGCCACAGACCAGUACUGGUCCCCGGCCGGGAGUUGGGGUCUCCGGCCUUAGAUGGUAAAAAGUGUGCAUAGACUUCCUGUCUCCUGAGAUGGCAGCACUCCCGGCAUUAUGUAUGGAAGUCAGUUUGGUUGGUUGGUUGGUUUUUAAAACAAGGUAGAAAGAAGGAGGUCUUUCAGAACUGGUUUCUCAAAAAAAAAAAAAAAAAAAAAAAAAAAA